CAGGGUGGUCAGGGAUGCCCCUUAAUUGUCCAUGCAAGGAGUGUAGGGUGCCUGACAAUCAGAGUCCCUGGAAGAAGGGGAGGAGACACUAAGGACAUCCGCCCCCAGUCGGGAGCAUCUCUGGACAGGGCUCGGGGGCAAGACCACGCUGCCUCUGCUAUCCUUUCUGGAACCAACCCAAGGCUGUACUUGCCAAAAAGGGGCCCCGCAGGGAGGAGGGUGAACCUACAGGGGUAACACCCAGCCCUGUGAACAAGCUAUAGCAGGAGCACUGAAGCAGAUCAAGGCGCACGUCUGGGGGACAAGGAGGGUCACAGAACCAGAGCAGCCCUAUCAAGCCCUGCUGUGGCUGGGCCAGGACAUGAACAAGAACAGAGAAUUCUGGGUGCUGUAGCCCUGGGGAAGGAAGGGCAGGUCCAGGCCAGGCAGCUCUUCCUGACUGGGUCGCAGGUGCACCUAGUAACUAGUGAGAUCUGGUCUGUCCUGAUGGCAAGACCCUCCCUGGGAGCCAGAAGAUGCAGCCUCGGAGGCCUAGGCAGGUGUGUCCUUGAGGGCUAUGCAUGGUGACACCUCGCUGUCCCUCCUGGAUUGGGACCACCACUCGGCACAGACAGGACUACCCCACACCUGACCUUCAGAGCUGCUGCCCACUCCACGUAGGCCCAGGCAAGUCCCAUCAACCAUUGGCUCCAGUGUCCCAGGGGACUGAAUCUGGGAGGAAGCAAGGAGGCUGCCAUUCUGUCCCUACUCCACAGGUGCGCGCCCCCUGGUGGCCAACAUAGGGACAUAGGAAGAAGGACACCCAGAUGGAUCAAGGUUGGCCUGAGCAGGCAAGCCAGGGAAAAGGGGAGGGAAGCGGGA